CUAUUUUUUUUUUUUGGGGGGGGGAGUGGAGUAUAAAGUGGAAAAUUCAAAGCCCUUAAAAUGCUUAGGAAUUGUAAUGGUACCUUUAAUAUGAUCAGAUUGUGAUAGGCUAUGCAUGCUUCACUCUCAUGGAGGCAUGGCGGUGGGGGCAAAAAUACAGCCUUUUUAAAGUUGUGGUCUAAAGAGUGAACAGGCCAAAACUGAGGAAAAACAGAUUUUGUUUGUUCUUCCAUUUAGAAUCAAAGGAAAAUUAAAUACUGAAGGAUUGAUCCUCUUCCAGAAUGAUCAUUAAGGUUGGUUAGUUACUUUAAUUCACUUAGAGUAGUGCUCAAGACAAUUUGUUUCUGAUAUCCCCAUCAGCUGAAGCAAAAGGUUUUCUUUUCCUUUCCUCCUUUUUUACCUGAUGAGACCACAAAAGGCAUUGUGAAGAGGGAAGGGCAGGAGACAGAAGCCUGUUUACUCAUGCCAUGUCCCUUUUUCAUUAUCCUGUGUCUGUUUUCUGCAUGCUGAACACUAUCUACAACUUUUAAUGCCCAAUUUAAAUUGAUUUCAAAUAAGCGUCAGAGGAAUGCAUAAGCAGAGAUGUCUGUUUCACAUCAGGGAACAGCAGAGAGAGUAUCUUGGUCACCCUUUAAGCUCAUAUACUCUGCUGCAUGUAUGCUAACUCCAUGGAUCAGCACCUUUGAAAAAUGAGUCCAUUAUUAUACAAAAUGUCCCUAUGAACCAUUUUUUUUAAAACGCAAUAUAUCUACAAAAUUAACCCCUGGACAGCUUUCAAGGCUCUCUCCCUUCCAUAAUAACACGGUCACAGUUAGAAAACACAUCUUGAUGUUUAAUUACUGCAGACAACCGGGAUGUCUGCAGUAUCUAUGCUAUUGAAAAGACAACAGUGAUAGUAUCACCAGGUCUGCUAUGAUGUACAUGAAAUGCUGCUGUAACCUCUACUGUGUGUACCCCAUAUCAUGUAGUGAAUAGAGGGGUCACAGUCCCUUAACCUUUCCUGUUCCCAUCCCAUCAGAUCCAUCCCAAGAAACAUUAUUAGGAUAAUGGUUCUUCUGGGGCAAGAUAGUUACCUCCUAAAUCAACAUUACUUCUUAAUGAAUAGCAUUUUUUUUCUGUGGAGCUCUUGAGUUGGGCCUAGCUCUGCUUAAUUUAAAGUAGCUGUGUUGACAUAAUAUAUUUAGACUUCUGUAAUGUGUUUGACUUAGUACUGCACAACAUUCUGAUUAAAAACAAUUAUCGCUAUACAAAAUCGGUGUUGUACAUAUUAAACGGCUCCCAAACUGUCUCAACGAUAGCUUGUGGAAGGGAGCUGUAAAUCAGGAAUCAUCACUCAGGGGAAGUUUCCAAUUCCUCUGGGGUCUCACCGCAGGUUUGGUGAGACAGAGCAGAAGAUCCAGCAAAGGAUGGCUGGUAUAAAAGACACAAAAGGCUGAUUUCAAUAGUAAGUCAGGCCAUGCAGUGGACAGAAAUCAUCCAGCGUCUGCUUUCAAUGUAACAAAACCCAGGUUCAUAAUUUAGGCUAUACUUCUCCAGUAAGUGCUGUAUAAUAGAAGUGAAUUAAUCUGAAAAUGCUGGAGGACAUCACGAGAACCCAGCUGAAUGUGACCCCUCAGAACAGUGUGGUAACUGAGGAGGCUGAUGUGUGACCACAUGAACAAGGAGGGUGAGGCAGGUUGAACCACUUCCAUAAUGGCAGCCUCUGUCUGACAGAGAGACACAAUGUCAGCUUUUGAAAUCUGCACCUUUUUUCUUUUUUUUUUUUAUUUUUUUAUUUUUUCUUCUGUGAGUGGUGCCCCUGCCUGGGAGCCAGUAGUGGGGGCCUCUGUGAGGAGAGGCCUGCACUGCCUCACACAGGCCACAGCUGGUUCCAGAUUAUUCUGUGGCGGCCCCACCUCAGCACACCUGAGGCCCUCAGCGACGACGGCACCUCAGGGACAGCGUAUUUAAGAAACAGCAAAAAGUACUGCCUGGCAGUGAGGAAUGAGGGAAAAAAGUGUGAGAAACAGCAACAUGAACCCCAAGGGCAGAGGAGAAGGAUAAGAAGGUGCUCUGAGCAGGUAUUCCCCCGCAGCCUGCAGAGGACCUAACAUGGGAACAGCUUUGCUGUUUCCUCAGUUACCUGAAGAACAGAGUCCUUGUGCAACAUUACAUAUUGCCUGUUUACACUGAUUCACUGCAGCAUCACUUGGCCUCUUCAGCUAUACCUCUCCAUCGGAUGAAGGCUUCUUGCAUGGAAGCACCAAUGUAACAGAAUAUCUAAUACAAGAAACAAAUAUUUCUGGAGGAUCGCCAAAAAAGAAGAUGGACUCAGCUGCAGUAACUGAAGGAAAGAAGGAAGAUGAAGCCACAGAGCCUAAGCAGGGCAACAGAGAAGGACGAGCUGCAGCAAGAUAAUUCUUAUUUAAAAUUGUUCCAUGAAGAAAGUAUGUCUUGGAUUGUAUCCACUCAACCCCGGAAGACAGAGCUGUGUAGAGCACACAUUUUCAUUAGCUUCAGUUCUGUCCCUACCGCCAAAACAGAGUGAGAAGAGGAUGCUUUGUGGUCUUGUGGAAGUAAAAACAGAAGAGAAUGCAGCUUGAUGGGUACACACAGGUCAAAAUCCCACCAUCACCUCUGCCAGCACAAUGGAGCAGCGAAGGUCAUCAAGCACUGGGAGGUGGCUGAGUAGAGUCCGGCCAGAGGCGUGGCAGUUGAGGAAGAGCAUCCCGGUAGUUUUACAGCAGGAGCAAUGACCCUUGCUUUGUUUCUGCAGGAAAUGAAUAUAACUUUUUGAGCUUCUUUUCAGGUAAGAAAAUUCAGAUUCUCAUGCAGUUCCUCAUUUGUAUAAUGCCACAGAAAGUGACACAGUCACUUGUUAAACAGUGUUGGUUCUCAGGUACGGUGGAGAAACAUUAACAUGGCAGCUUCAUCUUCUCUUUGAGUGCUUAGGUAGUCCAGUGAUUAGCUCAGUCUGAGGCCUAAAGAGAUACUCAGUGAAGGAUGGGCAACUUUAAUUUGGUUGGAGUGAUAAAGUGAUAAUGGUGAUUAAAGCCUUUGAUGCAUCUUGAUUCAGAGUUUCAGCCAUUGUACUGACUUCUCUACAUGUCAAAAGGUUGCAGUAUUAUCUGAGAAGAAAGACUUCUUGUCCUUGGGCACAAAUUAGUAGAAAGAGUCUAUCCAUUGUUAGUGCAGUUCCAGGUAAAAUUUUUUCUUUGUUCCUGGUUUUGGAUGCCCUUGGAAUGAUCCACCAAAUGCUACGUGAACCUUGGUGUAAAUUAGAAAAGGGUAGCUUUAUCUGGUACUUGAUAGAAAUGACACUAAUGGCAUUGGGUGUCUUUUCCAGAGGUGGGUUUUGCUUGAUAGAAAGAGGAAGAAAGCAAGUAGAAAAAGAGUAUUUUGUGGGGGGAGGAUAUUAUCAUUUCUUUUAUUCAAGAUAGAGGUUUUGUAGAUCAAAGUGGAGGGUGCAGUUCAUCUUUGGGUGCAUUUGGAUGAAAUCACUAAAUAUGUAUCCUGAAAAUCCAGUAGUGUUAGGCAUUUGUUGAUUUUUUUUUUCCUUUUGAAAACAUUGCCUAAAAUUUUUAUUUUUUUAUAAGACAUGACUGCUGAUGAUAAAGCAGCAGCACAUAAUUACUACAAGGCAUGGGCAGAGAAAGAGAACUAGAAGCAUGCCCAUGUUAAUGUUUGAGAUCAGGCACUUCCUUUUUAAAUGCCUGCAGCUGCAUAACAGCCCACUCCUGAAGUCCUUGCUCAACAGAAACUCCUACUAACCUCAAAGCACCACUGUGGGAAGCGAAACACCAAGAGCGUGCUGCAAGAGAAACAAGGUCAGUGGGAAAUUUCACUUGGCCAGGACUGCAAGAGUUAAGCUGGAAGAGAAAAACAGGUUCUUGUUUGAAGGCAGCUUGUAUCUUAUCAAGAAAUUUACAAUGAUAGGGAAACUCAUGGCACAAACUAAUUCACAAACUAAUUUUUCCUCUGUUGCCAUUGUUAUUACUCCUUUUGAAUAAAAACAAAACAAAAAUCUGUUGUCAUAUUUGGUACAAUACAGGAAGUCAGAGAAAAGCUAUUGUACAGCAAUUUUUAACCACCAACACACAUUUAAUAUCUAGUGUAGCAUUAUGGAAAACUAAAUGUAUGUUUGGAGUUUUUAAUGUUUCCAAAAAGCUUUACUAUUGAAACAUAUAUGUGAUGUGGAAGAUAUGCUCAUAAUCUCACUGUAGUAAAGACGGCAUACAGUAUGACUCAUAAGUACUGUAAAAAUGCUAACUAAAGAAUGCAGCUGCAAAGUUCUAUUGCAUAAGGAAGCUUUCUUGUUUAAACUUUAAAUAAGCAAGUUUAUUAAAAUAUUCUAAGACACUUACCUUACCCUAGUUACUGGCAAGCUCUAAUAAAAGCCACAGUCUGUCACUAGUAUACUUUUUGUGUUAAAUUUAUAAAAAUUUGGUGUGAGCUUUGAUGGAUCAUUUACAAUUUAUUAACAAGAUGAUCAUCUUGAUACAGUUAGGUUUUUUCUUUUUUCUUUUUUUUUUUUUUCAGCCUUACAUGCUCACAGAAUAUAAAAGGAUUCAUAUUCCUAUGUAACGAACACCCUUUUUUCCCAUGUCUGCAAACAAGUGUGGUAAGUUUAUGCACACAAAGAAAUGCUCUUGUUACUCUUAACUGGAAACUGUGUGUACAUGUGUAUGUAUGUAUAUAUAUAUUCAAAACUAUAUAUAUGUGAAUAUAUUUAUAUAAUAGGGUAUCUGUUUUCCUCCUUGCGCUUAUAUGUGUGAUGACAGCUGCACAGAGGCUGAGAGAGAGACCAGUGCUUCUGAGAAAUACCUUGCUUUUGCUGUUCUGAUCAGCUUCUCAUACAGACAUCUACUGACUUAACUGUGUCUGCAGAACUGACAAAAGACUUAAAUUUUGUAAAUUGCCCCAGCAAAUAAAUAUCUGCAGGAACAUAAAGGAAGCAGACUUUACCCCCUUUAAAAAAUCAGGCCCAGCAUGUCCCACCGCUGUCAAUAGCAACCCACACAGAGCCAGUUGCAGCUGACUGCUCCCCACUGUCUCACAAAUCUGAGCUCGUCUCACCUCCUGGCACUGCUCCCGCUGCAAGGGGAGGCAAAGAGCUGUGCUCCUGGGGGAUCUUAAAUUCCAAUUGGGGCAUAAGGAAAGAAGCCCAGAUCAGAAACAAGCCAGGAGGACUUGCAUUUCCUGUUUGCUGAACCUGAUGUACAAGAAGUGCUGCUGCAGAGCCUUGGGCCUGCUUCAUUUGGUGUCAACAAAGAGGCUCUUUUAGUGAUAUGCUUGCAAUAGGCUCUCUCCUGGCCACACCAUAAACAGCAAAUACAGUAGGUUUAGCCAUACAGAAUAGUUACAAUUCAUCUGUGGCUGUAUUAUUCUGCUUUGUCACUUGCACAGUCCAGAUGAAUAUUUUAUAAAAGCUAAACCAGUCCUAUAACUCUUCUCUCCAUAUAAAUAUAUAUAUAUAUAUACAUACACUCAUACAUAUACAAAUACUAACCCACAGACAAAAUAUUUUCUGAACAGUUGAAUAGCAACAAGUCAACAGUUAGAAAAAAAUGGAGUCAAUCUGUUUUCUGCUCCCCGAAGGUCAAGUUUAGAUGUCAUGGUCUUUUAACAUUCAGUGAAAAGUCACAUAACACUUGCGUCUUGCAAGAGGAGUCCAUUAAUAAAUGGAAGUUAGGGUAGAGGCUGUCAAACACCAAUGUAUAGUCGGACAGAUUGUGAGGUUGCAAAUUAAACUGAAUCUGGAGCAACUGAGGCCUAGUAGUGAAGAACAGUAACUGUAAACUGCAGUCUUCAGAUCUGACGUUUCCUUUUUUUCUUGUUGCCAUGGCAACACGGUAGGACAGCUUCAAAUGUCAGGAGUUCUUACAGAC